UCGAGCGAUGAGAUCCCUUCGGGGAUGGAUUAGCGGCGAACGGGUGAGGAACACGUGAGGAAUCUACCUUCUACUCUGGGAUAACUCCGGGAAACCGGGGCUAAUACCGGAUAUGAAAUCCGAUGGCAUCAUUGGGUUUGGAAAGUUUUUCGGUAGAAGAUGACCUCGCGGCCUAUCAGCUUGUUGGUGAGGUAAUGGCUCACCAAGGCGACGACGGGUAGCCGGCCUGAGAGGGCGACCGGCCACACUGGGACUGAGACACGGCCCAGACUCCUACGGGAGGCAGCAGUGGGGAAUAUUGGGCAAUGGAGGAAACUCUGACCCAGCGACGCCGCGUGCGGGAUGAAGGCCUUCGGGUUGUAAACCGCUUUCAGCAGAGAAGAAGCGAAAGUGACGGUAUCUGCAGAAGAAGCACCGGCUAACUAUGUGCCAGCAGCCGCGGUAAUACAUAGGGUGCAAGCGUUGUCCGGAAUUAUUGGGCGUAAAGAGCUCGUAGGUGGUUCAUUACGUCGGAUGUGAAAAUCUGGGGCUCAACCCCAGACCUGCAUUCGAUACGGGUGAUCUAGAGUGUGGUAGGGGAGACUGGAAUUCCUGGUGUAGCGGUGGAAUGCGCAGAUAUCAGGAGGAACACCAAUGGCGAAGGCAGGUCUCUGGGCCAUUACUGACACUGAGGAGCGAAAGCGUGGGGAGCGAACAGGAUUAGAUACCCUGGUAGUCCACGCCGUAAACGGUGGGCACUAGUUGUGGGAACCUUCCACGGUUUCUGCGACGCAGCUAACGCAUUAAGUGCCCCGCCUGGGGAGUACGAUCGCAAGAUUAAAACUCAAAGGAAUUGACGGGGCCCCGCACAAGCAG
rnacentral:rRNA from 1 species